rnacentral:lncRNA from 1 species
GGGAGGGGGGGGGAAGGGGAGGGGAAACUUGGGGUGGAGGGGGGGGCCUGGGGCGGAAUGGGGUGAGUGGGGCUUCCAAGGGGCGUAAAGGGGGGCUGAAGGGGAGGUGAGGGGUGGAAGGGGAAAGCUGGGGGGUUGUGAGGGACUUCUAUGGGGUAGAAACGGGGUCAGGAAAAAGAGGAAAGGGUAGGGAGGGACUUCUAUGGGGUAGAAACGGGGUCAGGAAAAAGAGGAAAGGGUAGGGAGGUGGGCCUGACAACAAAACAGCGGCUACCAUCUGAGGAGGAAAGCUAAUUUACCAAAUAUAAUUUCGGAAUGCAAGAUAACACAAUAUAAGGCAAUAAUCCUGUCCCACAGCAACUGGAGCGGUCACCUUUUUGGAAGAGAUCGCCGUGGUGGUUGAUCUGUCUUGUAGUUCUUUUACCUGUGCUCACAGUGCAGGAGUGGGUUUUUUAUGCCACUUCUUCACAUUUUCUCCAUGCUGACGCAGGUAAUUCCACAAGGCAAUACGCAACAUAGUCUUACUGUUGUCACUUGCUCGAGCUGGAGCACGUCUUCUCUUCAUAGCUGAGAUACCGGAUGAUGCAGGCUGGGAGGAAACCAAUUUGAUCAGCCCCUCCAGUAGGCUGUUUUGAUAAUCCUGAUCCUCAUCAGCUGUGUCUCAUAUCACCACGGGUUCAUGGGGUUCGUCACGAUGAAGCACAGUAGACAGUUCCUCCAUCACAUCUUCUUGAUUACUCUCUAUUCCAUCCAGUCACUUUCAGUUACUUUCAAAAUGGCUGAAACGUAAGCACGUAGAGGGGUUAAACGUAGCUCAAAGUCACGGAGCUUAGUAAUCAGUUCAUUCAAAAGGGCUCUUCUUGCCCUCUGCCAUACAUUGCUGCUAACGUACCGCCGUACUCACCGGGGGCAGAUCUUGUGAAUAUACACCACAUAUCCGGUGUACACCUGACUCUCUCGGGAUGACGGUCUCGGUUUGGAUUGGAAUUUGAAUGGGGAUCAGAAUUUAG